CCAGAACCGUUCUCAGCCUUAAGUUUGCUCCAAGAAAUAAAAAUAGUGAUUUAGGGCUCAAUCGCUCCCACAAGAGACUCCCCUGUUUCAGGGGGCAGAGUGGGGAGGAGGCAGAGGAGAAGGCCACUGGGAAGCAGGGGGCUGCUGCCCACAGGGCCCUUUGGCCUCGGAUUCCAGACCUGCUGGUCUGUUUCUCCCAGGCCUGUUGUUGUGUUCAAAGCGGGUGCUUUCACGGUCACUGGAUCAGAGUGAAUUCUUCAGGACGGCUCAGGGCAGCCCCUGUUCUAAGGAUGUAAUGACCUAACAUGCGAUUGAAAACCAGCCUGUCAGGCGCACACCAAGCUCACGGAUUCCAGUCUGUCCGCAAGACCACGAAGGGGAAGCGUGGAAGCGACGUGGUCAUCUGUUAAGUACGUACUCUCCAUUCCUUCUUCUUUGAUCCAUGGAAAGAACCAACAGAUGAGGCAAGGUAUUGUGUGAUCAAAGGGCCUGAGAGGUGUGUUUGUGCCCAGCUGAGUAGAGCGUGGGGGUGCCUGGUUUAAAUGUGGUGACAACGUUGCUGAAGCGACAAGACUGCUGAGGGCGGUUUUCCGCAAAGAGCUGCUGCCACUAAUGUCUGCUCUAUGGGCCCCCAGGUCUGCGAGGACGGCAGUGGGGGAAGCACCUCUGACCUGGUCUCCAGUGUGGUGCCAGUCCCAUCUCGGCCCCGGGAGCCACUGCCACCCCUUCAGUCACCGCCUCUGCGGGGAGAGGCUGAGCUGCACGCCCGCCCCCAUCCUCCAUCCGCAGAAAGACAGCUUCCUUCGUCUUAUUAACGGUAACACAUCCCAGCACUCCAGGAACUACAGACCUCAUCCUGAAGCAGUCACGUUGCUUAUCUGAAUGAAAGACUGUUUCCUCCCCCUAAUGAAUGUGAACAGGGCCCCAGAGCCGAGGGCGAAAUGUGGGAGUCCCGCUGGACUGCGCAGGGCGACCGUAGACAGAUGACACGGUGACUCUUUUCUCGGGAAUCUCCCGUGAUCAGUGUGACAGGCGGGCACAGAGGUGGGACUCAGGAGAUUUUGCUUUAAUUAUUCUGCCCGGAGCAGCAGGAUACUUUGUUCUUUGCCAGCACCACCGCACGCUGAUGCUUAAAGAGGCUUGAAAACGGGACCCUACCCGUGCUUCUCAACCUGUGGCAAACACAGCCUCCCUCAUUUUACUUUAUUUCUUAUUAAUUUGUUUUUAUGGAAGCAUAGUUGAUUUACAGCAUUGUGUUAGUUCCCGGUGUGCAGUAUACUGAUUCAAUUACACAUAGAUAAAUAUUCUUUUUCAGAUUCUUUUCCGUUAUAGGCCAUUACAAGAUAUUGAAUAUAGGUCCCUGUGCUGCACAGCAGGACCUUGUUUUUUAUCUAUUUUGUAUGUAGUAGUUUGUAUCUGCUAAUCCCAAACUCCCAAUUUAUCCCUCCCCACCUUUCCUCCUUUGGUAACCAUAAGUCUGUUUUCUGUGUCUGAGUCUGUUUCUGUUUUGUAAAUAAGCUCAUUUACGUCUUCUUGUUUUUUAGAUUCCACAUAUGAGUGCUGUCACAUAUUUGGCCUUCUCUGUCUGAGUUACUUCACUGAGUGUGAUCCUCUCUGAGUCCAUCCCUGUUGCUGCAAAUGGCAUGAUUUCAUUCUUUUUUAUCAGCUGCCUUCAUUUUGCGGGCGGGAAACUGAGACCUAGACAGACGAUUGCUCUCAGCAGGGGCUCUGAAGGCUCGUACCUCAUCACAACUGAUAGACCUUCAUGUCUCUCCCUCCUCGACUGCUCUGAUCAUUGUAUUUGAAAAUCCACCAUAAAGGGGAGAAAUUCUCAGGAGGCUUUGAAGAAGGGGCCAACAUCUUUAAGUUACAGUGAGGAGUGCAUGCGUAUGUGUGUAUGUGCAUGUGUGGACGUGAGUUUGAGGUCUGCAUGGUUCGGGGUCUGGAGACCUAGGCUUGCAAAGACGGAGGCAGGGAGCAUCCAGUGCAGGCGCUGGCCCCAGUCAGGUGCCCUGCAAGCUGCAGGCACGUGAGCUGAGCGGCAGAGAGGGGAGCUGGAGGGGGAUGGAAGAAAAAUCACCUAGAACACAGCUCUGCCUUCCAAGAUGCGCUCGGAAUAUAAUCUUUUCAAAGUUAAGGAAAAAGCCUGGCUCCUGGCUGAUACAGGGCCCCCGUCUGAGUCCAGCCAUUGCCCAGAGUGGCAGUUGAGAGCAAACUUUUCGUUUGGGGGUUUACCGCCAGGAAGCCCUCUGAGACCACAAGGAGGGUCCAUGUAUGCCCCUUUGCACUUUCUAAAAAACUAAAUUGAGUCCCUUUGAAAUCUGUAGAUAUGAGUCUGCUGAACUCCCCACAGGAAGAACUGAAAAUUCUCAGGAUUCUGGUUAUUUAUAGCCCGCAUUCCAUGCCUGCAGCACCAGGUUAUCAGCGCUUCCCCGACGGGUGCUGGGUCCUGGAUGACGUGCCUUACACUGUUUCUGCACGACUCAGCCACGUGACAUCACCAGACUUUGCAGAAUCCCCCAAAGUUCAGAGGAGAAAGGGAGGGAGCACCAAAAUUACCAGGGAGAGUUCCUGGAAUCAAGCUGUCUGUAAGAGUUGAUCGUUUUAAGGGAAUCCACUUAAUUCCCUUAAAUCAUUUUGACUAACUCACUAGCUAGUUCAGCAAAGCAAGCAGCUUAACCCAUUGACGAUCGAAUUGAUUAACUGCUUUUGUUUGCGUUUCUUGUUUUUGUUUUUGUUUUUGACAUAGUGUAGGCACAGCUCAAGUUAAGCAAACCUGACCAUCUUUUCAAUGCUUCCGGAAUAGAAGCGAAAAUGAUUUACGAAUGUGACAGUCCAUGUGGAAAACAGAGCUUCAUUAAAGAAUUAGGUGGGAUUAAAUGGGUUAAGCUCACCAGAAAAAAGUUAAAAUAAAAGGCUAUUCUUGCCAGGGAAUGAAGUCUCUGCAGAAGUGGUGUGGAGGGUCCCUCAGGGCCUCGGAACAAUUAGCUCGCAGAAAAUUAGAGGCAGC